rnacentral:lncRNA from 1 species
CAGUCAUGCAAAGAGAAGGAGGAGCAAUAUUCCAGACAGAAGAAAUAGUUCGGUUGAAGAAAAACCUGGGGAAAGCAGGUACAUAUGAAUCAGGGUGCCUGGAGGCACACCUGAGUGGCUGGGGAAAAGGAGCUAGAAUAUUCUGAAACGUUUGAAGCCAGGACCAUGGGUGAAUGCUCCCCUCCUCCCCAAAGCCAUUCGGAGGUCCUCAGAGGCGCACAGAGGAACACCACGCACAAGGCUCCCCGCUGCAUUCCAGCUAUUUAUGCCUGAUCUGCCCCAGAUGUCGCUCCGGCAGGCCCAGGCUCAAGAUCCAGGCAGGCAGCAUGUGGUCAGCAGCCUGGGAUGGGUUGCAGGUUGUCAUGACACCCAACGACAGUGCUGAUAUUCCAGAUAGCCCAGUUCUGCCCAGGCUGAGCACAGAAAGAACAUCUUCAACAGCAAGCUCUAGCCAGCCAGGAUCAAAGCAUCAUGAUAGACAGAGGGCUCUGCUGAUAGGAGAAGCCUGUGGUCAGUUCACAGGCCAGGCACUGUGGUGCCCACAGUAGAGAAGGUUUGAGCUAUCCCUGCCCUGCAGGACUCACUUUAGUCUUAAUCCUUCGUGGUUCAAGAUCCAUGAGGCCGAGAUCCUUUUGUUCUUCUUCUCACUCUAACAUCAGUGUCUCACAUAGUGCUUGAUGAGCAUAUUUGUUGAUUAUGUGAGUAAAGAAUUAACUUCCUUGGACAAAAAGAGAUAAUAUUUAGAAUAC